AUUGAACGCUGGCGGCAGGCCUAACACAUGCAAGUCGAACGAGUGGCGGACGGGUGAUUAAUGUCUGGGACACUGCCUGAUGGAGGGGGAUAACUACUGGAAACGGUCGCUAAUACCGCAUACCAUCGGAUUUGCCCAGAUGGGAUUAGCUAGUAGGUGGGGUAACGGCUAAACUAGGCGACGAUACCUAGCUGUUCUGAGAGGAUGACCAGCCAAACUGGAACUGAGAAACGGUACAGACUCCUACGGGAGGCAGCAGUGGGGAAUAUUGCACAAUGGGCGCAAGCCUGAUGCAGCCAUGCCGCGUGUAUGAAGAAGGCCUUCGGGUUGUAAAGUACUUUCAGCGGGGAGGCGUUACCCGCAGAAGAAGCACCGGCUAACUCCGUGCCAGCAGCCGCGGUAAUAC
rnacentral:rRNA from 1 species